rnacentral:rRNA from 1 species
GUGGUUUAAUUCGACGCAACGCGAGGAACCUUACCUAGGCUUGACAUGUGGUGAGUAGCGAACCGAAAGGGGAGCGACCCGUCAAAUCGGGCCAUCACACAGGUGCUGCAUGGCUGUCGUCAGCUCGUGCCGUGAGGUGUGGGUUCAGUCCCGCAACGAGCGCAACCCUCGCCCUUUGUUGCCAUCGGGUAAAGCCGGGCACUCUAAGGGGACUGCCAGCGACAAGUUGGAGGAAGGAGAGGAUGACGUCAAGUCAUCAUGGCCUUUAUGCCUAGGGCCACACACGUGCAACAAUGGCCGGUACAGACGGAGGCAAUGCCGAGAGGCGGAGCAAACCCGAGAAAACCGGUCCCAGUUCGGAUUGAGGUCUGCAACUCGACCUCAUGAAG